AUCUUCUGUGAGAUUACGCAUUUUUAUCUCUACCGGCUAUUACAACAAUUCUACAUGGUUAAUCUACAUUAUUCAAUUCUAGUUAUUUCAGAAUCCUCGAUCUAACAUUUGGCAAUGUUACAAGGGCAGAAAAUAAGACCGACAUCCCCCCCACCUUCACCUGGAUUCAAUGGCAUAAGUUUCUGAGCCUCGUAGAAAUGAUCGGCGCCACCAAAUCUGGAAUGCUCUGCUGAGAUUGGGGCAUUCAGUGCCAUGCUUGGAGAAACACCUAAACCAUUCCAUAAACAACAUAUACUGCUGCUUCAGAGGAAGUGUUAGGAGUGUCUGACCCAUGGCUUCUUCCAGUGCCUUCAUGUCCAACCCCUUUUUGCAUCUCUGCAGCCAACCAAAAUCUGCUAGCAUUGGGUGAAACCACGCCUGGAAAAGCCCUGCUCUUGCUUCUGCACGGCAAUGCAGUUUUCUGGUCCCCAUUGCAAUGAAUAGAGUUGCAGAAACCCGACUAAGCUCAUAUCUAACCAUUGGAGAUGUGCUCUCAUGCAUUCUAAGCAGGUCCCCUUGAUCUGCCCACAUAUCCACAAAUUCUUCGCCCAUCUGCUGAUCAAGAAGCAUUUCUAGCAACCAGUUGAUGUUAUCAACCUGUCUAGAGAUGCGUUCAAUCAAUGUUUUGCCUGUUUUCGUCACCUUCCGAUUGGGUGAAGUGUUGGAGGCCUCUUCCAAAAGGGUGCCUAAUGAACUUAGACAAGACUGACAAACAACAUAGAGAUCCUCCUUAUUAAGUUCAGGUUGGUCCUUCUCAUAGAUUGAGCUUUUGCUAAAAAGACCCUUAACUAAUGACUUUAGUUCAUUUCUUGCAUUGGCAUCUGUACAAGUGGUGAUAGACCAAACAAGUUGUCUAGCUAAAUUUUGUUGACACUCUACUGAGUCAUGCAAGUAGAGUCUGGCCAAAAUAUCUUGAGUUGCUGUCUCCUCAAAUUUACACACUGAAAACAGACCCCUGAGUUUUUCCUCUUCUUCUUCAGUCCAAGGAACAGCCUCAAGGUAUUUCAAACAGGAUGAAACACCUUUGGUAAACAUGAUGCCAGCAGAAACCUCAAGAAUAUCAAUGGCUCUAUAAACCCCAAUCUUCAAGAGCCUUUUAGUAAUAUUGUCCUCGAACAUUAGCUCAAUUGUGUCCCUAAAAACCCCCAAAUUCUCUACAUCAGGCACCUCUAUUCUACACAUUUUCAACGAAUAAUUAUUGCCUUUUCUAUCACUCGUCGACCCCAAACCUUGCCGAUAUUCCGAAAUUAACCCUGCAAAAACCUCCGAAUUCGCAAUCAGAACCUCCGAGCUAGUUUCCAGCACCAAUGCCCCUCCCUUCUUCCCCCUCAAGUUUAGCCUCACGUCAAACAAGCCCUCAUACUGCUCCCAACCCGAACCCGAAUGCAACAAAGAUCCCUCAUUCUUGCCCCGGAAAGACUCGGAUCUUGAUUUGAGAGCUGAGUCGACGACUGUAGAUGGGUCAGGGACGAUUUCUUGGACGGAAUAGCCGGCGGUGGGGUCGGAGUCAAUGGGAGAGACACGGCCUGGGGAGAGGAUCCGGCGGGGGUCGAUCCUAC
rnacentral:misc_RNA from 1 species